rnacentral:lncRNA from 1 species
UCAUAUUACAAGCCAGGGGCCUCAAGGGCUUGAAUACAAAAGCUCGAUACACAAGCGAGUCAGCGAAAGCAACAAUAUCUGAGUACAGACAUGAGUUAAACAAGUUUAGCCUUAAGAAGGCUAGCACAAACAUCAACGAUCGAAGAGGCAAGGCCUCCUACCUGGGACCUCCUAACUACUCCUGGUCGUCGGCGGUCUUCACGUAGCAGCAUCCAUCGGAGAUGGCAUCUAGCUCCAGGGAUCCACCAUCUGGUUGCAUCAACCGGGAAGAAGAAAGAAGGAGGAAAAGGGGAAGCAAAGCAACCGUGAGUACUCAUCCAAAGUACUCGCAAGCAUCAGAUCUAUACUAAGUAUGCACUGGUAUCAAAUGGAAGGUUUGUAUAUGUGGACUGAACUGCAGAAUGCCAGAAUAGAGGGGAAGGCCUUACCUAUUGAAGACUAGCAUCUUCAAGCAGCUCCGAGCAUCUUGCAGCAUAUAGAAGAGUAAAGAAUAGCAGUUUGUAUUUAACAAGCAUGUUGUAACAUUAAUGCCUAGAGAUCCUUCCUCGACUCCCUGCGAGAAAUCAAUCCCGGAG